rnacentral:rRNA from 1 species
AUGCUCCAUUAGUGUUGCCAUGCAGUCGUGCGAGUAGAUCAAGCACGAAGAAGCUUGCUUCUUUGCUGACGAGCGGCGGACGGGUGAGUAAUACUUGGGAACUUGCCUCUAGGCGGGGGACAACCACUGGAAACGGUGGCUAAUACCGCAUAAUGUCUACGGACCAAAGUGGGGGACCUUCGGGCCUCACACCUAGAGAUGGGCCCAAGUGGGAUUAGCUAGUUGGUGAGGUAAAGGCUCACCAAGGCGACGAUCCCUAGCUGUUCUGAGAGGAUGAUCAGCCACACUGGGACUGAGACACGGCCCAGACUCCUACGGGAGGCAGCAGUGGGGAAUAUUGCACAAUGGGCGCAAGCCUGAUGCAGCCAUGCCGCGUGUGUGAAGAAGGCCUUCGGGUUGUAAAGCACUUUCAGUGGUGAGGAAGGUCAGUAAGUUAAUAGCUUGCUGAAUUGACGUUAGCCACAGAAGAAGCACCGGCUAACUCCGUGCCAGCAGCCGCGGUAAUACGGAGGGUGCAAGCGUUAAUCGGAAUUACUGGGCGUAAAGCGUACGUAGGCGGUGUGUUAAGCAAGAUGUGAAAGCCCCGGGCUCAACCUGGGAAUUGCAUUUUGAACUGGCACGCUAGAGUCCUGAAGAGGGUGGUAGAAUUUCCAGUGUAGCGGUGAAAUGCGUAGAUAUUGGAAGGAAUACCAGUGGCGAAGGCGGCCACCUGGUCAGAGACUGACGCUGAGGUACGAAAGCGUGGGGAGCAAACAGGAUUAGAUACCCUGGUAGUCCACGCCGUAAACGAUGUCAACUAGUUGUUCGUGUCACUAAGACGUGAGUAACGCAGCUAACGCACUAAGUUGACCGCCUGGGGAGUACGGCCGCAAGGUUAAAACUCAAAUGAAUUGACGGGGGCCCGCACAAGCGGUGGAGCAUGUGGUUUAAUUCGAUGCAACGCGAAGAACCUUACCAUCCCUUGACAUCCAGUGAACUUUCUAGAGAUAGAUUGGUGCCUUCGGGAACACUGAGACAGGUGCUGCAUGGCUGUCGUCAGCUCGUGUUGGGGAGAUGUUGGGUUAAGUUCCCGCAACGAGCGCAACCCUUAUCCUAGUUGCCAGCACGUAUGGUGGACCUCUGGGGAAGACUGCCGUGAUAACGGAGACGGUGGGGACGACGUUCAAGUCAUCAUGCCCGUACGGGAAUGUCUACACGUGCUACAUUGCCGUUACAAGGCAGCGAAACCUCUGGCAAAGGGUAAGCGAAAU